UGGGGGAUAUUGCACAAUGGGCGAAAGCCUGAUGCAGCGACGCCGCGUGGGGGAUGAAAGCUUUCGGGUUGUAAACCUCUUUCGCUAUCGAACAAGGCCCGCUUAGGGUGGGUUGAGGGUAGGUGGAGAAGAAGCGCCGGCUAACUACGUGCCAGCAGCCGCGGUAAUACGUAGGGCGCGAGCGUUGUCCGGAAUUAUUGGGCGUAAAGGGCUUGUAGGCGGCUUGUUGCGCCUGCUGUGAAAACGCGGGGCUUAACUUCGCGCGUGCAGUGGGUACGGGCAGGCUUGAGUGUGGUAGGGGUGACUGGAAUUCCAGGUGUAGCGGUGGAAUGCGCAGAUAUCUGGAGGAACACCGAUGGCGAAGGCAGGUCACUGGGCCAUUACUGACGCUGAGGAGCGAAAGCAUGGGUAGCGAACAGG
rnacentral:rRNA from 1 species